GGGCGCUUAGCUCAGUUGGUAGAGCGUCAGCCUUACAAGCUGAAUGUCAGUGGUUCGAGCCCACUAGCGCCCACCA
rnacentral:tRNA from 1 species